rnacentral:tRNA from 1 species
GCCUCCGUGGCGCCAUCGGUUAGCGCGUUCGGCUGUUAACGGAAAGGUUGGAGGUUCGAUUCCUCCCGGUGGCG